rnacentral:rRNA from 1 species
CUCAAGAUGAGAUUUCCCAAUUAGUAAGACCCCUUGAAGACGACGAGGUAGAUAGGUUGGAGGUGGAAGUGCAGUAAUGCAUGGAGCUGACCAAUACUAAUCGGUCGAGGGCUUAUCCUAUA